rnacentral:rRNA from 1 species
GACGAACGCUGGCGGCGUGCCUAAUACAUGCAAGUAGAACGCAGUUGCGAACGGGUGAGUAACGCGUAGGUAACUGCCUCAUAGCGGGGGAUAACUAUUGGAAACGAUAGCUAAAACCGCAUACUGUGAGAUGGACCUGAGUUGUAUUAGCUAGUUGGUGAGGUAAAGGCUCACCAAGGCGACGAGACAUAGCCGACCUGAGAGGGUGCUCGGCCACACUGGGACUGUGACACGGCCCAGACUCCUUCGGGAAGCAGCAGUAGGGCAUCGUCGGCCAUGGGCGGAAGUCUGACCGCGCAACGGCGCGGGAGUGUAGAAGGUUUUCGGAUCGUAAAGCUCUGUUGUUAGAGAAGCGGUAACUACCCAGGAAGCAACGGCUAACUACGUGCCAGCAGCCGCGGUAAUAC